UCCAGAACACAAAUAGCAAAAUAUAAAUUUGAGGGCAAAAAGGAUAGAUCUUCAUGCAAAUAUCAAAUGAGCUAAUUAGGACUUGAUCAAAUUAGGUAACUCACACUCCAAAUAGUACCUACUAUUUUCAAAUCUCAAAGAAGAAUUACCACUUCAUUUUUAACCAGCAGUUAAGCAAGAAAAGGUGGUAUGGCCAUGAACGGUUGCUCCUGG
rnacentral:misc_RNA from 1 species